rnacentral:rRNA from 1 species
UACGUAGGGGGCAAGCGUUGUCCGGAUUUAUUGGGCGUAAAGAGCGUGUAGGCGGCCAAGCAGGUCCGCUGUGAAAGCCCUUGGCUCAACUGAGGAAGUGCAUCCGAAACUGGCAGGCUAGAGUACUAAAGAGGAUCGCGGAAUUCCCGGUGUAGAGGUGAAAUUCGUAGAUAUCGGGAGGAACACCGGUGGCGAAGGCGGCGAUCUGGGUAGAUACUGACGCUGAGGUGCGAAAGCGUGGGGAGCAAACAGG